ACAGCUCUGAAUAGGGUCUGAAAUGCACGGCCCCUCAGCGAUCCUGGAUGCUAAGCAAAAUCAGGCCUGUUUAGUAUGACUUGGGUGGGAGACCACCUAGGAAUAUGAGCUGCUGUA
rnacentral:rRNA from 1 species